AACGAACGCUGGCGGCGUGCCUAACACAUGCAAGUCGAACGAGAAAAGCUCUUUCGGGAGCUUAGUAAAGUGGCGCACGGGUGAGUAACACGUGGGUAAUCUACCCUCGGGUCUGGGAUAACAUCCCGAAAGGGGUGCUAAUACCAGGUAAGACCACGUCCUCUUCGGAGGAUGAGGUAAAAGGUGGCCUCUCCAUGGAAGCUAUCGCCUGUGGAUGAGCCCGCGGCCCAUCAGCUUGUUGGUGAGGUAAUGGCCCACCAAGGCUAAGACGGGUAGCUGGUCUGAGAGGAUGGUCAGCCACACUGGAACUGAGACACGGUCCAGACUCCUACGGGUGGCUG
rnacentral:rRNA from 1 species